rnacentral:rRNA from 1 species
ACGUAGGGGACGAGCGUUGUCCGGAUUUACUGGGCGUAAAGGGCGCGUAGGCGGUCAUUUAAGUCAGCUGUGAAAUGGUUUGGCUUAACCGGAUCAUGCGGUUGAAACUGGAUGACUGGAGUGCUGGAGAGGCAAGUGGAAUUCCCAGUGUAGCGGUGAAAUGCGUAGAUAUUGGGAAGAACACCGGUGGCGAAGGCGACUUGCUGGCCAGCAACUGACGCUGAGGCGCGAAAGCCAGGGGAGCAAACGG